rnacentral:rRNA from 1 species
CAAGUCGAGCGAGAAGCCCCGCAAGGGGUGGAAAGCGGCGUAAGGGAGAGGAACACGUGGAUUAUCUGCCCUCGGGACCGGGAUAGCUGCGGGAAACUGCAGGUAAUACCGGAUAACGUCUUUGGACCAAAGGUGUGAUUCCGCCUGAGGAUGAGUCCGCGUCCUAUUAGCUAGUUGGUGGGGUAAUGGCCUACCAAGGCAAUGAUGGGUACCGGGUGUGAGAGCACGACCCGGCUCACUGGGACUGAGACACUGCCCAGACACCUACGGGUGGCUGCAGUCGAGGAUCUUCGGCAAUGGGCGCAAGCCUGACCGAGCGACGCCGCGUGCGGGAUGAAGGCCUUCGGGUUGUAAACCGCUUUCGGAGGGGAUGAAAUGGCGUUGGGGGUUCUCCCCCACGUUUGACAUAGCCUCUAAAGAAGUACGGGCUAAGUUCGUGCCAGCAGCCGCGGUAAGACGAACCGUACAAACGUUAUUCGGAAUCACUGGGCUUAAAGGGUGCGUAGGCGGCGGUGCAAGUUGGGUGUGAAAUCCCUCGGCUCAACCGAGGAACUGCGCUCAAAACUGCAUCGCUUGAGGGAGAUAGAGGUGAGUGGAACUUAGGGUGGAGCGGUGAAAUGCGUUGAUAUCCUAAGAAACACCAGUGGCGAAAGCGACUCACUGGGUCUCCACUGACGCUGAGGCACGAAAGCUAGGGUAGCGAACGGGAUUAGAUACCCCGGUAGUCCUAGCCGUAAACGAUGAGCACUGGGUUGAAGGGUCCUCCAUAGCCCUUCAGCCGUA